ensembl:miRNA MIR367 microRNA 367
AGGCUGCCACUGUUGCUAAUAUGCAACUCUGUUGAGUGCGAACUGGAAUUGCACUUUAGCAAUGGUGACUGAC